GACGAACGCUGGCGGCGUGCUUAACACAUGCAAGUCGAACGGAAAGGCCCUGCUUUUGUGGGGUGCUCGAGUGGCGAACGGGUGAGUAACACGUGAGUAACCUGCCCUUGACUUUGGGAUAACUUCAGGAAACUGGGGCUAAUACCGGAUAGGAGCUCCUGCUGCAUUGUGGGGGUUGGAAAGUUUCGGCGGUUGGGGAUGGACUCGCGGCUUAUCAGCUUGUUGGUGGGGUAGUGGCUUACCAAGGCUUUGACGGGUAGCCGGCCUGAGAGGGUGACCGGCCACAUGGGGACUGAGAGACGGCCCAGACUCCUACGGGAGGCAGCAGGGGGGAAUAUUGCACAAUGGGCGGAAGCCUGAUGCAGCAACGCCGCGUGCGGGAUGACGGCCUUAGGGUUGUAAACCGCUUUCGGCUGUGACGAAGCGUGAGUGACGGUAAUGGGUAAAGAAGCACCGGCUAACUACGUG
rnacentral:rRNA from 1 species